AUACAUCAUUGAUUAUGUUAUUGUAAAUCAUUUGCAGGUGAGAGAUAUUUUGUAUUAUUACUUGUGCAGAGUCCAACACUCAUGAGAUAAAAAGGCCAAAUUGGAAUUUCACUUGAUGGAGUCCUGCACAUCAGAUACCUUCCUAUCUGGGGCUGCCAGUAAUGCAGCAGAAAUGCCAAAAUGAGAGGUAUUAGGUAGAAAACUCACAACAGCCUGCUUUUCUGGAACUGGACAAGAUGAAUCAGGCUCAGUGCAAAAGAAAAGUCAAGCUGGCAUAAAGAGGGGCUGAAGAUUGUCAGACUCCACAAUCAUCAUCCUAACGUAUUCCAGAGAAAAUCAUAACAGAAUUUGGUGAAAAUCUCUUAUUUGUUGUUUUUGGAAGAGCACAUUGACUGUUAAAAUUUACUUUUGCA